rnacentral:rRNA from 1 species
GACGAACGCUGGCGGCGUGCCUAAUACAUGCAAGUCGAGCGGAACUGGGGGAGCUUGCUCCUUCCAGUUUAGCGGCGGACGGGUGAGUAACACGUUGGCAACCUGCCCUCCAGAUCGGGAUAACUCCGGGAAACCGGUGCUAAUACCGAAUAGUCUGGCGCCUCUCCUGACGCGCUACGGACAGACGGUUGCGGCUGUCACUGCAGGAUGGGCCCGCGGCGCAUUAGCUAGUUGGUGGGGUAACGGCCACCAAGGCGACGAUGCGUAGCCGACCUGAGAGGGUGACCGGCCACACUGGGACUGAGACACGGCCCAGACUCCUACGGGAGGCAGCAGUAGGGAAUCUUCCGCAAUGGACGCAAGUCUGACGGAGCAACGCCGCGUGAGUGACGAAGGUUUUCGGAUCGUAAAACUCUGUUGUGAGGGAAGAACACGUACCAACUAACUAUUGGUACCUUGACGGUACCUCACCAGAAAGCCACGGCUAACUACGUGCCAGCCGCCGCGGUAA